UUUACCUACGGGAGGCAGCAGUGGGGAAUAUUGCACAAUGGGGGGAACCCUGAUGCAGCGACGCCGCGUGGGUGAAGAAGUCAUUCGUGACGUAAAGCCCUAUCAGCAGGGAAGAAAAUGACGGUACCUGAGUAAGAAGCCCCGGCUAACUACGUGCCAGCAGCCGCGGUAAUACGUAGGGGGCAAGCGUUAUCCGGAUUUACUGGGUGUAAAGGGAGCGUAGACGGCGAUGCAAGUCUGAAGUGAAAGCCCGGGGCUCAACCCCGGGACUGCUUUGGAAACUGUAUGGCUGGAGUGCUGGAGAG
rnacentral:rRNA from 1 species